rnacentral:rRNA from 1 species
CAGCAGCCGCGGUAAUACGGAGGGUGCAAGCGUUAAUCGGAAUUACUGGGCGUAAAGCGCACGCAGGCGGUCUGACAAGUCAGAUGUGAAAUCCCCGGGCUUAACCUGGGAACUGCAUUUGAAACUGUCAGGCUGGAGUCUUGUAGAGGGGGGUGGAAUUCCAGGUGUAGCGGUGAAAUGCGUAGAGAUCUGGAGGAAUACCGGUGGCGAAGGCGGCCCCCUGGACAAAGACUGACGCUCAGGUGCGAAAGCGUGGGGAGCAAACAGGAUUAGAUACCCCGGUAGUCCCUGUCUCUUAUCC